UCAUAUGUACAUUCCUACAAUGGUAAUGCCUCAUAUGGCAUUAUAAAUCUACAAUUAAACUCACUUGGGAAAGAGUAGUACUAGGAUGGGUGACCUCCUGGGAUGUCCUAGUGUUUUACAUGCC
rfam:Picea glauca, whole genome shotgun sequence.